CUUCUCGGCCUGUCCGGUCAAGUACAGCACCCAGAAGACUCUGCUGGUUCGCAAUGUCGGUAACCGGGCAGCUCAUUACCAGCUGAGCACCCAGAGUCCUUUCUCCGUGGUUCCGACCACGGGAACUCUGGGCGCUGGCGACAGCAUGCGGGUGACAGUGGGAUUUCACCCGCUGACGACCGGUGACCAUUCCGGGUGGCUGUGCUGCAACACCGGUGAAGAAACUAUCCACACAGAGCUCCACGGAGAAGCUGGAGCUGUCCGUGUUGGGUUGAGCACAAAUUUCGUGGAGGUUGAGACGACU